rnacentral:rRNA from 1 species
GAUGAACGCUAGCGGCAGGCCUAAUACAUGCAAGUCGAGGGGCAGCGGAGGUAGCAAUACUUGCCGGCGACCGGCGCACGGGUGCGUAACACGUAUACAAUCUGCCUUCUACAGGGGGAUAGCCUUUCGAAAGAGAGAUUAAUACCCCAUAACACAAGAAAUAGCAUUAUUUUUUGUUGAAAGUUCCGACGGUAGAAGAUGAGUAUGCGGGUGAUUAGCUAGUUGGUGAGGUAACGGCUCACCAAGGCAACGAUCACUAGGGGAUCUGAGAGGACUACCCCCCACACUGGUACUGAGACACGGACCAGACUCCUACGGGAGGCAGCAGUAAGGAAUAUUGGACAAUGAAGGCAACUCUGAUCCAGCCAUGCCGCGUGCAGGAUGAAGGCCCUAUGGGUCGUAAACUGCUUUUGUACGAGAGAAAACCUAUUUACGUGUAGAUAGUUGAUAGUAUCGUAAGAAUAAGGAUCGGCUAACUUCGUGCCAGCCGCCGCAGUAAUAC